GCAGCCGUUAGUGGCGCGAAGUGUUUUCAGGCCCCGCUUCGGGCGGGAGGGAACGGGACGUGCGUUUUCGGCGGAGGGGAUGUUGAGGUGUGGCCGCCGCUGCUUUAGCGGCUGGUGGGGGGCCGUCCGGCUCCUUCUGGGCUCCGUGCUGUGUGGGUGAAAAGAGACGGGUAUGUUUUUUCCUUGGUGGGAGGUUUUGUGUCAGGUGCGGCCCUGGAGUUCGGGCUCGGCGGGCCCGGAGCCGCUGAGUGAGCCGUUGCCGGAAGCUCAGCGGAGCUGUGGAGGCUCGAAGGAGUCUGUGAGGGAGAAAUGCACGGAGCGGGCGGGUCGGGAAGGAUAUGUGGGCCUCGUGUUACAUCGAGAGAUGCACUACGUUCCUGUCCACGUCUUUCCUCUUGGAAGAGAUGCUAGCUCCUGCGAUCGGGGACACUUUCGACUCUUUCUCACUGUGUUUGCCUUAGGUUUUGUUUUGACUCGGUCUGUCUGCAGGUUGCUGUCCUUUACCGUGCCAGCUGCCUCUGGCUUGCAACAGUAUCCUGUUCACGUUGUGCUGUUCAGAAGGUGGAUAGAUGAGAGGGCAUACCCUCCUCUUUUUAGAAUGGAAGGCGGGGGGGGGGGGUGGCGAGUGAAGGAGAGAAAUGGACAAAAAAAAUUCCUGUGUCUUCAAGAAAGAAAACAAAACCUAUAGUUCUGAAAUACUUUGAGGGAAAGCCAAAGGCCACAGUGUAACUCACAAAUGUUUAGAAGAAUCUUGUGGAAUCGUAAGGUGCUCUUUUUUAAGAGGUCCAUAAAUUCUUGAAAUUCUCAUAACACUUCAUCUUUGAAGAAUAGUUGAAUUUGACCUUCGUAGACUUAAGUAUAAAGUAUUCCUCCUGAAACCUAAUACUUUAAAUGAUAACUUAUAUCAAUUGUUUAGUGUCCUCUCUAUUUUGCUAGAAAACAUAUGCUAAUCAGUAAAGUAAACUUUCUAAGCAAAGCGUGACAUAGUGAAUGCAAUUGCUUCAUUGCUGAGUAAGUUACAAAGCCAACAUCAGAGGAAGAAGUUUUAGAAUCUAUAGCAAGAUUUAAGUAAAAUAAUCUUCAUUGCCCUAGAGGAAGAAGGCUGAUACAUUUGGUCUGGUAUAUAAUUUUUAACAAAGAAAAUGCCUGUUUUCUGGUUUCUGUCUCUUCUGAAUGUUUUGUGUAGGAUACUUCCAGAGGCUGCUACAUCAAGUUAGAGUACAGUAGGCAAACAGGUGAUCAGCAGUCCUUCAGCCAGAUAGUGCAAACAAGGAAAAGCAAAGACAGUAAUUGGAACUUCUCAGGUCCACAGUUUAAGUAGGAUGGCAAGGCACUAUUUUAUUUCAGGGACUUCUGAGCUGUUAUCUUGUGUGUUAUAGCAAUUUAUUAUCAACUUUAUUGUAGUCUUCUACUAGUGAUGUAUAUUCUGUAAACAGUAAGCAUAUAAUGCAUCUCUGCAACAGUAUUUUUAAUUAGCCAGAAAGAAGAAAGAAUCUUGUGGGGGGAAAAAAUCUUUAAGGACAGAGUUUAAAAAAAAAAAAGCACUGUGUUACCUUUUAAUAAUGUUACCUUUUAAUACAGUGUAAUGGAAUGUCACUAUGGAAAGGCAAAAAUACUUCAUCAUUGUAAUUUCUUAGGUAAUUAAGAUGCUGUGAUUCCUGUAUGUAGUUUUGUAAUGCCUUAUAAUGUGUCAGCAUGAAUAACCAGUGAUGGUCUUCUCUAGUAGUUAUGCAGUUUUAACACAUCUAGAGGAAAAAAAAAUCUAUUAGUGGUCUUAGACUUAAAGCCAAUUUUAAAUUAUAACUUACUAAACCAAUAAUAUUGCUAUUUGGUCAACAAAGUAUAUUUAUUACUGUUAGCAGAACUAUCCUCUAAGGAACUGAAGUUUUAAAAUUUGUAUUUUGUAAGAAAAUACUUUUGGACCCUUUUAAAAUAACUUUUUCUUCAAAGUGAAGGUCAUUGAAGCUUUGUUUAAUUGUUAAUACUAAAUUUUCUGUUUCUUUUGAAUUUGAGUCAUUUGGAUUUCAGUAAUAUAUUUUUUUGUUUGGAAAUUUGUAAAAUGGCAUUAUUUUAGAUAAUAAUAAUAUUUUUAGUUUAAACUUUGAACAGCUCUGAUUACUGUCUGAACCUGGAGAAAUGGUUGCUAAAUUCUGUUCUGUUGAAUUAUUUUUAGGUUUGUUUCAUAGAUGCGUGCAGUGAGAGGUGAAAAGUAUGUUAUUUUUCAGCAUGACUCUCCUUAUAUCUCAAGUUGCUCAAUUGAGUUGAUUUACAUCUACAUUAAAAGUUAUAAUACAAACAAGCAUCCUGCUCUAUUUGCAUCUCUCUGUAGAAGAAGAAUCCACUUCUUCCUCUUAGUUUAUACCCAUAUUUAAUCAGUAACAUAUUUUACUUACAGUUUUUGUUCAGUUUCUUGGUCUUAUUUCUCUUUCUCUACAAGAGUAGUCAUUGUGGACCUGGUAAGUUCUUUCAGUGUACUUAAGAAGACUGAAAUAUGAUUUGAAUACUACAUAACUUAUUACAGUUCUCAAAUCGCUCUAUAAGAAACUCUUGCAGCCUUCUAAUAAUUAUUUUGCAGCUUUUUACUGUAUUGUUUCUUGUUUUCUUCUGUUGUGUUUUAAAAUAUGGACCCCUAAGUUGUGUUAGUGUCGGCUAGGUCACUGCUUUAUAGAUGUGCAAUUCCUCUGCAGUCUAACAUUGUUACUGUUUCUACAACCAAAGAUUAUACAUGCUCUUUUUGCUUUACGUUUACAUGGAAUUUUAGUAGCAGUUUGAUUUUGAUUUUUUUUGUAACUUGUAGUUAAUUUUUUAUGGUGACUGCUUUUUCAGGAUACCUUUUGUAGAUGUAAUGUAUGUUUCUUUCUUCUUUGUUAUUAAAGAGUAUCUUGUAUGAGUGUAUGUGGCUUGAAGAAUAUGCAUUGCUUUAGUUCUGUCAGAAUUUACCAUUCUUUCAUAAGUUUUGUUUGUGUAGAUUUUUCUUUGAUUGAAAAAAGUAAAAGGUGUUGGUCUGUGCAGUAAUAAGCCUUUUCAUCUGUAGGUCACAAGGGCUCUCUAGGUUCAGGUCAAGUUCUCAUUAUCACUCAACCUUAUUUAGACUCAGUUUUCUGGUAGUAGCACUAACUGCACUUUUAAAUUAUGGUGCAUUCCCAAAGCUUGUGCUUUUCUUCACUGUCACUUGAGUACAGUGUCAGAUAUGAUAGCAGCAUGGAUUAAAUAGAGUAUCUCCACAACUAGAACAAAUGCCAAAUUCUUUUCUAACUAGAUGUUUCAAAAUAGACCUUCUCCUUAGUCAAGUAAUGCAGAUUUAAGAAUCAGCUAAUUGACUUCCUUGCUUAAGCCAAUUUAUUUUUAGUGUCCUUGAAAUUUCACUGAGUAUUGCUGGUUGAUUUGCUUAAUUAUUCCCAUGUACUCCUGCACACUACUCUGAGUUUUCAUCCGUGGAUGACAGCCAGAUGGUUGUCAGUACUAGAAGCAAAGCAUGUUUUGGAAACUUAAACCAUGAUUUACAGCUGUUGUAAUGUUGGUCCUCAUAAUUUGUUUAUUAAUAGGUUUUGACAUCUACUUGAUACUGUAUCAUUUAACAUGGAUGACAGAGCAUGUACAUUAAAUAUUUUAAACAAA